CGUUCUCAUACGAUCACCAAAGUUAAGCAAGGCCGAGCCUGGUCAGUACCUAGAUGGGUGACCGCUAAGGAAUACCAGGUGCUGUAAG